UACGUAGGGGGCAAGCGUUGUCCGGAUUUAUUGGGCGUAAAGAGCGUGUAGGCGGCCAUACAGGUCCGUUGUGAAAACUCGGGGCUCAACCCCGAGACGCCACUCGAUACUGCUGUGGCUUGAGUCCGGUAGGGGAGCGUGGAAUUCCUGGUGUAGCGGUGAAAUGCGCAGAUAUCAGGAGGAACACCGGUGGCGAAGGCGGCGCUCUGGGCCGGUACUGACACUGAGGAGCGAAAGCGUGGGGAGCAAACAGG
rnacentral:rRNA from 1 species